rnacentral:rRNA from 1 species
GACGAACGCUGGCGGCGUGCCUAACACAUGCAAGUCGAACGCGUCUGUGCUUCGGCACAGAUGAGUGGCGAACGGGUGAGUAACGCGUGAGUAACUCCCCUUGGGGAGGGGGAUAACCAUCUGAAAAGGUGGCUAAUACCCCAUAUUCUCUUUUCUCAUAAGAGGAAGGAGGAAAGGUGGCGCAAGCUGCCACCCCGAGAGAGGCUCGCGUCCCAUCAGCUAGUUGGUAGGGUAAUGGCCUACCAAGGCUAUGACGGGUAGCCGGUCUGAGAGGAUGGUCAGCCACACUGGGACUGAGACACGGCCCAGACUCCUACGGGAGGCAGCAGUGAGGAAUCUUGGGCAAUGGGCGAAAGCCUGACCCAGCGACGCCGCGUGGAGGAAGA